rnacentral:rRNA from 1 species
ACGGAAGGCAGCAGUGGGGAAUAUUGGGCAAUGGGCGAAAGCCUGACCUAGCAACGCCGCGUGAAGGAUGACGGUCUUCGGAUUGUAAACUUCUUUAAUUGGGGAAGAAUAAAUGACCUACCCAAAGAAUAAGUCACGGCUAACUACGUGCCAGCAGCCGCGGUAAUACGUAGGUGACAAGCGUUAUCCGGAUUUACUGGGCGUAAAGGGCGUGUAGGCGGUUUGGCAAGUCAGAAGUGAAAUUCCUGAGCUCAACUCGGGCGCUGCUUCUGAAACUGCUAGACUUGAGUGCUGGAGGGGAUAGCGGAAUUCCCAGUGGAGCGGUAAAAUGCGUAGAUAUUAGGAAGAACACCGGUGGCGAAGGCGGCUAUCUGGACAGUAACUGACGCUGAGGCGCGAAAGCGUGGGGAGCAAACAGGAUUAGAUACCCUGGUA